rnacentral:pre_miRNA from 1 species
UUUCUACUCCCUCCGUCCAAAAAUACUGGUCAUCAAAAUGGAUAAAAAGAGAUGUAUCUAAAACUAAAAUACGUCUAGAUACAUUUCCUUUUAUCCAUUUUGAUGACAAGUAUUUCCGGACGGAGGGAGUAUUUG